rnacentral:sRNA from 1 species
GUAUUUUACUUCAUUUGUGCCUGCAAUUGAAGGGUUCCAGAGACUUCCGUCCCCCUCUCUACACUCUCACUCCUCGCUUUCUCUCUGCAAUCUUAAAGCUCUCAAACCACAAGCCAACCAUAACCAAACCCUCCCUCACCUUUUCUUUCUCCCUUCUCUCUCUUUCCUCUCCUCUCUCGAACUUUCCCCAACUGCCUCUGGUGCGUCUUCUACGACUCCGACAUCGACGAGCUAGAUGGCUCCUUUGCCUGACCAAGUCCCUCACCGGACGAGGAUCUGGAUCCGACCGACAAAGCUUGGAGAUUUGUUGGACAUGGGGAUUUGGGGUGUGCGUAAACGGCAGAUGAAUCACAAGUUUUUGAAUUAGUGAUGCAAAGUGCACAAAAAGGAGUUGAAGAACAAGCAGAGGGUAGAGGAGAGGCGCCGAAAAGAGGGGGAGAAAGCAAAGCAGGUGGCCUUAAAAGGAAUCAAGUAUGCAGGGAAAUGGUAUAUCAAAGGUAGAGAUUGACUCCAGGAUCAACAUAUCAAAGGUAAACAAACAAUACCUUCUACAUAGUCAACAUUCUGGAUGAAUUGGAAGAGAAGACAGUCCAAGUUGUCAUGCUAAGACAAAAGAAACUUACGUUGUACUGGUGUCUCAGACCUAUCACUCAUCGCCAUGUGGAAAAGUGUUGAAGCACAAGACGAAGUGUAACAGAUUUGGGACAUGACCAACUUGAUAUCUCUGUUUAAUGUAAGUCUUUCUCCUAAACUUACAGAUGAUUAUGAGUUUUUCCUCUCGUCAACCUUCACUAUUGAAGUAUUCU